CGGCGUGGCGAUAGCACGUUGAAUACACCAGUUCCCAAUGGAUCACUGAAGUUAAGCAACUUUGCAUAUGGUUGGUAUCCGUAUGUGUAUCCAACUAUGCAUGCUGCGGCGG
rnacentral:rRNA from 1 species